UUUGGAUUUGGCUUGCUUGAUGCUGGACGAUUAAUGAAGGAAGCCCUAACUGGACAAAGAAAAGGAUUGACAAUAAGAUGUGGAUGUUCAUCUUUAAUGAACUCUAGUCACCAAGUGAAAAUCAGCUAAUUUUGAUGAUGCAACUGACCACCUUCUCAGCAAUAGGUGAAUAUUUACUCCUUCACAAAAUGAGCAAACCUAUUAACUGUGAACAUGGAAAGAUGAAGCAAGCAAAAAACAAAGAGAAGUGUGAAGAGUUUCGCUGCUGUAUCAUCUGUGACACUGUAUCAGCUCCUAGUUUUAGGAUCAUGAGUAAAUAGGUAUAUAAGAGAUACGCUGUUAUUCUACAAAGAAGGGUUAUUUCAAAGAAAUAAAGGAAAAAAAUUAAAAGGGCUGUCAGUAUAUUCUCAGGUACUAUAUGAUGACAAUGUUAGAGAGGGAGCUUCAUUUGGUGUUCUUCUAGUUUUGAAUCUAUACAGGGGAACAGUACUACAGAGAGAUCUAGAUAAUAAUGUCCUUGAUCUUGUCAAGUAUUGCCGUAGGACUAGUAUUGUUACUUUCUUGUUGAAUUUACUCAUGUGAGAGGAACCACUCUGUUAUAUAAGUUAAAGGUUCACAUUCUGUCGUUCAUUUUUUCACUUUACAUUAUUGUUAAAAUAGAGAAAAAAAGGGACUAAAGGAGGCAGGAAGAGAAGCAAAAAUAGAGGUGAAUUAAUAGCAAAAAUCAAAUAUUAAAUAUUUUCUUUAACUGCAGUCAGAGAUGGGGAUUAUAUUUGACCAAACAACCAAAUCCUCCACCACAAGCUAGGACUUCACUUUUUAUUUCAAUACUCUUGAUAGAAUGGACCCAAUCAUUUAUUCUGUGUGUGCUAAAAGUGUACUACCAACACUAGUAGACCAAGCAGAUAGUUUUGUUUUAUUGUCUGAAUAGUGUAAUAUUUUACUGCAAAUAUAAAUAGUGUAGUCAUUUGCCUGAUCCAAGUUCCCAAUGUACUUUAUAAUAAACCAAGUAAUUUUGAGAGAAAUAUGUUGACCAACCCUAGCCUAACACUAUUCACAUAGUUCAAUACUGAAACCAAUUCCAGCCAUUAAAAAGUGAAUGGUAUUGCAUUUACUUUUACAAGUUGAAGGAUAAAGACGGAAAUGCAAGAGAUGGAGCAAUAAGAACCAUGUGGUCCCUGCUCUUUAAGGGUCUCAUCCAGAGCCUGUUAAGGUAAUGAGCAUAUUCUUUUUGAUUUUAACAGACUUUACAUAAGUCAAAAAUUAUUGAAAAUUAAGAACAGGAAAAAGAAUCACUCUGUUUACAUUUGUUAGGUUAUAUCCAUAAUAAACUUGUAAAAAAUGAAAACAGAAGAAAAUAUUAAAGCAGAUCCAAAUAUUACAUUUAUUCUAGAAUUCAAGAUUACUUCAUUUUCUGCUCCAGUAUAAGUGCACAAUGUCACAAACAUCAGAUUUUUCCAAAGCCUUUACUGAAAACAUUUCCCAUCAUGGAAUACUUCACCUUGCUUUCUUCUUACAGCUGUUCCUUCUAGAAAAA